rnacentral:rRNA from 1 species
AUUGAACGCUGGCGGCAGGCCUAACACAUGCAAGUCGAGCGGAUGAAGGGAGCUUGCUCCUGGAUUCAGCGGCGGACGGGUGAGUAAUGCCUAGGAAUCUGCCUGGUAGUGGGGGAUAACGUCCGGAAACGGGCGCUAAUACCGCAUACGUCCUGAGGGAGAAAGUGGGGGAUCUUCGGACCUCACGCUAUCAGAUGAGCCUAGGUCGGAUUAGCUAGUUGGUGGGGUAAAGGCCUACCAAGGCGACGAUCCGUAACUGGUCUGAGAGGAUGAUCAGUCACACUGGAACUGAGACACGGUCCAGACUCCUACGGGAGGCAGCAGUGGGGAAUAUGGGACAAGGGGCGAAAGCCUGAUCCAGCCAUGCCGCGUGUGUGAAGAAGGUCUUCGGAUUGUAAAGCACUUUAAGUUGGGAGGAAGGGCAGUAAGUUAAUACCUUGCUGUUUUGACGUUACCAACAGAAUAAGCACCGGCUAACUUCGG